AAUAUAACCGACAACCGCCGGAAUUUGUAUUCGAGACGGUCGCCGACAAUAACAUUACAAUUUACAAUAGCAAUAAUAAUAACAACGAUAAAACGGCCCGAAGUUUUGCGUAUGGUACCCCGAUCAACAGGUCAUGAUAAGUGAAAGAAAAAAAUUCCCCGACGACAACGUAGCCCGGGCACAGUGUGACCGGCGCGCGCACCGAUUCGGAUGUGUGGGCCGAGCCGGUUUGUACUUUGUACACGACGGACGGUGGCUGAGUAUCCAGACACGAUAUUAUGGGUAAACUCUGCCUAUUCAAUAUUCGUUAUAAUAUCGGGUAUUCAGGUAUUCUGGUAGCCGGUAGGUUAGGUGUGAUGUUAUUUUAUUUCCAUUUUUUGUGUUUCCCAUCGUACAAUUGUGUAAUUCGUUUAAAUACUUAAUACUUUAUUAUGUAAUUAUAAUAUAGGUAAUAGUAUCUGCUUAUA